rnacentral:rRNA from 1 species
UACGGGGGGAGCAAGCGUUGUUCGGAUUUACUGGGCGUAAAGGGCGCGUAGGCGGUCAGCACAAGUCAGUUGUGAAAUCUCCGAGCUUAACUCGGAAAGGUCAACUGAUACUGUGCGACUAGAGUGCAGAAGGGGCAACUGGAAUUCUCGGUGUAGCGGUGAAAUGCGUAGAUAUCGAGAGGAACACCUGCGGCGAAGGCGGGUUGCUGGACUGACACUGACGCUGGGGCGCGAAAGCUAGGGGAGCGAACGGG